GUGCUUGCUUCGGCAUCAUAUAUACUAAAAUUGGAACCAUAAGAGAAGGUUAUUAUAGCCUCUGUGCAAAGAUGACACACAAAUUUGUGAAGCAUUCUAAAAAUAA